rnacentral:rRNA from 1 species
AACGAACGCUGGCGGCAUGCCUAACACAUGCAAGUCGAACGAGACCUUCGGGUCUAGUGGCGCACGGGUGCGUAACGCGUGGGAUCCUGCCCUUAGGUUCGGAAUAACUCCCCGAAAGGGGUGCUAAUACCGGAUAAUGUCUUCGGACCAAAGAUUUAUCGCCUUUGGAUGGGCCCGCGUUGGAUUAGCUAGUUGGUAGGGUAAAAGCCUACCAAGGCGACGAUCCAUAGCUGGUCUGAGAGGAUGAUCAGCCACACUGGGACUGAGACACGGCCCAGACUCCUACGGAAGGCAGCAGUGGGUAAUAUUGGAAAAUGGGCGAAAGCCUGAUCCAGCAAUGCCGCGUGAGUGAUGAAGGCCUUAGGGUUGUAAAGCUCUUUUACCCGGGAUGAUAAUGACAGUACCGGGAGAAUAAGCACCGGCUAACUCCGUG